GAGGGUAUAGCUCAAGUGGUAGAGUGCAUGCUUAGCAUGCACAAGGUCUUGAGUUCAAUCCUCAGUACCUCCU
rnacentral:tRNA from 1 species